CCACUGUGCUCAGGCUGCGGUUCAGCAGUGAGCCACAUGAGUCUGUUCUCAGCAGUGAGCUUCAGAUAGAGGAAGAACUCUUAAUUUCAGAGCAAGGAAAUGGCAUUCUGUCAUGAGGACAAUACGGUACCCUCAUCUCAGAGGAUUGGGAUGUGCCCUUCAUGGCGUUGAGGGAGGAGGCAUUUAAGCUAUGCAAAAUGCGAUGAGAAAUAAAUUCACCAAGCAGCAAGAGUUGUUCCUCCACGAGAAAAAAACACAGACAAGACCGCUUGUUUCAAUGAGAGACCCUCCACACACCCCAGAAGGAGUUCCAGGCCAAAGAUCAGGAAUGAGGCCCUCUGUGCUCUGGGAAAAGCUGGCAGAACAAGCCUUCAGAUACUCGGACAUUUUCAGAAGAUGUUAUGAGCUCAAUUUCUCACAUCUUCUCAUAGCUAGAAAAGGACUAAAAUUCUUAAUAGAAGCAUCUGCUUCUCAUGACCCACAGCAAUCUUCUGCCAAAAAUGUGUGCCUGCUUGUAUGUAUCCC
ensembl:lncRNA